UACGUAGGUGGCAAGCGUUGUUCGGAAUUAUUGGGCGUAAAGGGCGCGUAGGCGGUUGGUUAAGUCAGCUGUGAAAGCCCGGGGCUCAACCCCGGAGGGUCGGCUGAUACUGAUUGACUAGAGUACGGAAGAGGUAGCUGGAAUUCCCGGUGUAGCGGUGAAAUGCGUAGAUAUCUGGAGGAACACCGGUGGCGAAGGCAGGUCUCUGGGCCGAUACUGACGCUGAGGAGCGAAAGCGUGGGGAGCGAACAGG
rnacentral:rRNA from 1 species